rnacentral:rRNA from 1 species
GACGAACCGUGCGAACGUUAUUCGGAAUCACUGGGCUUAAAGCGCGUGUAGGCGGGACGGCACGUCGGUCGCUGAAAUCCCCCGGCUCAACCGGGGAACGGGCGCCGAUACGACCGCCCUGGAGGGACGUAGGGGGACCUGGAACUUCCGGUGGAGCGGUGAAAUGCGUUGAGAUCGGAGGGAACGCCCGUGGCGAAAGCGAGGUCCUGGACGUCUUCUGACGCUGAGACGCGAAAGCCAGGGGAGCGAACGGG